GGCUCGUAGCUCAGUCUGGCUAGAGCACCGGACUCUUAAUCCGGGUGUCGAGGGUUCAAAAUGAGGGGACUCCCUCAAAGCCA
rnacentral:tRNA from 1 species